rnacentral:rRNA from 1 species
UACCUACGGGAGGCAGCAGUGGGGAAUAUUGCACAAUGGGGGAAACCCUGAUGCAGCGACGCCGCGUGAGUGAAGAAGUAUUUCGGUACGUAAAGCUCUAUCAGCAGGGAAGAAAAAAAGUCCUUUGGACUUUGGACGGUACCUGACCAAGAAGCCCCGGCUAACUACGUGCCAGCAGCCGCGGUAAUACGUAGGGGGCAAGCGUUAUCCGGAUUCACUGGGUGUAAAGGGAUCGUAGACGGCGCGACAAGUCUGGAGUGAAAGGC